ensembl:lncRNA
CGGAGAAGGUCAAGUCAUCAUCCGAGAUUUUCUGUGCUUUUUGGACUUUGGGCUGAAUCCUCUUGACUGACUUCAACUUUUCUGCCAUUGCCUCCUCUGCUGGGUUUGAUUGAUCAAGAUGAGUUUUCAUCUCAUUAAGUUUGCCAACGGGGACAUUGCUGUGGUCCCGGAAAAUUGGUGUGAUGACGGGAUGGUGUACUGGCCAAAAUAUAAAAACACCGAACGUGCCAAAAGGGCAGCGGCCAACAGUGAGACACCAGAGUCAAACUGGCCAAAAUAUGACAUCAUGGUCAUCAGAACUUGUGACAACUACAAAGAUGCCUGUAGGCUAAUGGAGAAGUACCAGACGGGCUGCAACACCACUGAUCUUCAGUCUGAGGCAGAGGAGGAGUGUGGGCCGCCAGAUAAACGACUAAGGAAGGCAGUGCAUCACUUUGGGGACUCUGAUGAGAGUGAAGAUGGUGGCCAAUUGCACUGGCAGACUCCAACAUCUCGCCGAGGGCCAGGCAGCAGCAGCAGAGUCUCUCUGCUCUCUGCACUUGAGGAAAACUGUCUCGCACCUCACCAUGGGGCAGGACCGCAACAACCGUUGCCAAAACAACUCCGGAGAGUUACUCAAGGAACGGCAGUCCCUCCUCUUCUCCCUCCACCCCCUCCACCCCCGACAUCAACCCUGAGCCUGCGGCCAACAGAGGAGCCUUCUUCCAUCCCCGCCAUCGGACCAACAUGGCGAGGGGGAAGAAUGAAUGAGUCCAUUCCCUGCUCUGUGGCUGAAGUGCACAUCCUGAACCUGCUGGAGACGAUUAAACAGCAGCAAGACCAGCUCGUGGCAAAGGUCAACUACCUCUGCAGCAGGAUGAACAGCACCCCGGGGACAGAAGUUGAGAUGCCUGAAAAUAUUAAUCUCCCGUUGGAACACCUGGAGGCAGUGGAGGAAUUUGAGGUGUUUUUAAAAGAACCCUCAAACCACCCAGCUCGACAGAGAAUAGUGAGUCUUCUUAAUAUGAAUGGUCCAUGCUAUAAUGCUAUUAGGUAUAUUGAUUGACCAUGAUUAUUGCAAGUAUUCUAUUGAAGCAGCACUAAACAGGCCUGUCCUGAACCCCCUUUUCCCAGAUUGUGUCAGUGAGCGACAGUCUACCGGUAUGACAUUGUGUGUAAGGUGGCACAUGUCCAUGAGAGUGUGAGCCAAGUACAUGUUUAGAAAAAGAACAAUUCAAGGGAACAGGAUUUUUUUCUUGAGAGCAAAUAGUACAAAUAUAGACGUUUUUCUUUUUCUACAUUUCGGGAUGCAUAAGCUUAGAAUUGUUUACCUUGCUGAUAUUUAAAAAAAUAUAUAUAUAUAUUUGCCUUUUAGAUUCUUUUUGGCCACAAUUGGAGGCCAGGAUUUGAAGAGGGUGACUUGGAACAUUCUUGGCCGGCUUUACACAGACGACGUGUCCCACCAGAUCAACUGGAAAGGUGUGAACACCAAAAAGGCCUUCAGCCAGAUGUCGGCAAAGAGCUUGCUUUUCAGUGCUGUGAGGAUAACUCCCUCACAAAGUCCAUCACCGAUGCGGAGGUCACAAAGCACACCAUCAGGUGGUUUAACCUGGCCAUGGAUCGGGCGACAAAGAGACGAGGAGGUGUCCGUCCCCCGACAUGUCCCUCACAGCCGUAGUGAAGCCGUAAUGAAGCAGUUGAGAACAUAAUGAAUAAAAAAAUUACUCAAAUUAUUGAACGUUUGAUUCUUGUUGUUAACCAGUUUUUAAUUUUCUGAUAUUUUAGCUGUGCAUUGCACAACAUUUUUUUGAAUUUCAUUGAAGAUGUAGCCUAAUAUAUAAAAUGUAUGCACUAUAGGCCGGUAAAGCACUAAAUGAGUUUCUGACCACAAAAUGAAUGUAGCCACAUUCAUUUAACAGGUUAGCAAAAACAGAAUAGGCUAUAACCGGUAUCUUUCCAUAAAUGUCCAUUUUCCAUUGAGAAGUUAUUACUUUUGUACAGUAAACUGAUGUUUUGAAUUGAACCUUUUCUGUUAGGCCUAUUGUAUUGUAAGGUUGAAAAUAUGCAAUGCAGAUUUAAGCUUUAGGGCUAUAUUGCUGUAGUAGGCCUAGUUCUAGCGAUAGUUUUUAGUUUUAUCAAAUAGUUUAGUUUAUCCUAUUUUAUCCUACACGAGAACAGAAGGGAUUUUGGAAGGACAAACGGAUCCGGGCCGGAUGAGCCACGAUUUGUAUGAGUCCGUUGUGGGUCCG